AAGAAAGAGAAUGUGCUAAACACAGCUGAGAAAUGUAAUCAACAAACGAGAAAAACAAAUACGGAGACAUGGGAAAAAUAGGUACUGUUGGACAAAUUCAUUCUUCAGUCCCAGAACAAGGAGAGCCUUCUUUGAAGAAAACACAGAGCUCAGAGACCGAAUGAACUGGAGGAAGAGUCUGCAAAUGGAGAUAAGAUGCAGCAGCCACCAAAAGCAA